CAGAUAUUUUGGCUUUGUUUUGGCAGAUAUCUGCAAUUUAUGGCUUCCUUUUGGCAAGCCAUAAGCUUUUGGCAAAAUUUUGGCAUGGUUAUGGUUGACCUGGGCGCCAGUGAAUUGGGGCGUUCCUCUGGAAAGCGAAAAAAACAAAGAUUUGGCUAAAAUAUGGGUUGUUUAUGGCUUCCCACAACACAUUAAAACGCGCGGACUGUGAAUGAAUGAGUUAUGGCCAGGUUAUGGCAUGUGUCAGGUUAAUCUGAACCUCGGGUGGAGAGCGGGACAGCAACGUUCUACAUUGGUGCGCUUACGGCAACCCAAAAGACUGCCAAAAUCAACUGUCAAGAGAAACUCGUGCUUGCUUGCCUCACUUCAGUUUCCCCAGCGCCAGUGUGUGUCAGACUUCAGUUUAUGCAGAUGUGCUGCUGCUGAAGUCACCCGGUGGAGGAACUUGUUUUUUGACAGGCAUACUACAGAUGUCGCGAAUCUGAUCUACCUACCUCUAUGUGGCAAUAGAGUACCUGCUUUUACUGGCCAGGGGAUCAAGAUGAAAACAAGAGGCCUGUACCGAGACAUCCAAGCACCCAUCAAGUCACCCAGUCCUCCACCACCUGCCGUGCAGCUAUACCCAUCCAUCAAAUCCAGCCACUUGCCCACCCUAACCAGUCACAGCAUUUGGAGGCAAUAAAGUAUAAUGAAAUGUA